CGUCCCUUCAAUUGACCAAACGACGUCGUUUUCAAUCCCUAAUCGGAGCUGUUGAUCUCACUUGAUCAAAUAGUUGAGAACUGGUUCAUUUGACAAUAUAUAAUUGUCUGAAUGGAUCGAACCCCCCUCCCCUUUCCAUCUCUCCCACUCAUCUCCUCUUCAGAGACCUUCAAAGAAACCUAAGCGCCACCAUUAAAAUACACAACCCUCUCUGAUGGCGGCGACGCCUCAAAUCGGCUCCAAAUUUACACCAUGUAGCCUUUAGCCCAUCCUCUUUCCAUAACCAAAAAUACAUCCUUCGAAGCCCUCUACAUCUCGUCGAAUUUCAAAUAUGAAGUGGAAUCCCUACAUCCCAAAUCUUCCAAAUUGGUGGUUUUAGUGAAGGAUUUGAGGCUGAAGUUUAUUUUAUUCGUGUGUUUUUAUUGAGAACACAUGAUUAAUGUCCAUUUCGGUCAAAAUCAAGAGUUCCAGGAAUCGGUCUUGUCUGGCUGGGUUUAGGUAUUUCAGUUUCUCUUCUUUCAUUUUUCGUUUCGUUUUCAUCCCUAGUUCUUCAUCUUCUUUUGUUUCUUUUCCUUUUCUUUCCUUUUUAUUUUAAAAUAUUUUCUGCAUGUCUAUAAUUCUAACAAAUACAUUUUGUUUCUUUCUUUUUUCGCUUAAAUUUUCCUCAUGUUUUGUUUGCUUUAUUUGGAAUAUUUGGUUCCAAGAGUUCACAUAACUCUGAGUUGCUCCUUUUAUUGAAUUUCUCUAAUGGAUUUCGAUUGAAUUGGGCUGUGUGAAUCAGAGGCCCAAAGAAAAGGGGAUUAGCCCGAUUUGGUAAACCCAUAUCUGGAUAGUGCUGGGUCCAAAUUUACCCAUAUCUAUGCUGGGUAAUUAACAGCGGUUACAAAGAUAAUUCAGGGUUUUUAGGUUAGAGAAUCGCUCAUAACUGAUUGGGAAACUUCUAGGAAGAUGGGGUUUGGGACCGUUUUAAAAAUAAAAUUUAAAUUUAGGGACAAACAAGCAAAAAAUGAGAAUUUAAAAAGGAGUAAAUGAUAAUAACUAGACUCAUUUCUGCUGCCCUAAAGCUACCAUAUGAAAGGUUGUAACUUCUUAAUCAAGGGAGAGUUUCGAGACUGAAAAAUACUGAAAAAGAAAAACGGCUGAGUUUUGGAAAACUUUGAAAGAACACUGAAAUUCCCUGCAUUUUUUGGAUCCAAAUUGGUUUAGUACUGUCUUAAAACUUCAUAGUUAAUCAGAGUUUUUAUGGAGACUCCAGAGUUUGUUGUCCAUUUGGGUUCUCUACUAGUUUGAAGAAGCCAAUUUUUGUUUGGUAUUGCUGUGUUUUAAAGCUGGUUCUAUAGCUGCUUCAAACUCCUCGUUUCUCUUUGUUUCUCUAGUGCGUUCCAGGUACUCUCGAACCAUGGUUAACCUCUGAAGUGUAAUGUGCAAUAUGAAUAUGGACACAUGAUGAAAACAAUUUGAGCUACUGAAUCCUCGUUUUUCCUAUUUCUCCAUCUUACUCAUGUCAUGUAACAAUAUAACUUUAUAUGAAUUCUAUUAGUUUUCUUUGUUGUGGAUAAUGUAUAAAAUGGUUGAGUUUGGUUCUUGUCUGAUUCUGCUGAAGGCUGUAGAUUUCUGGAUCUGGAAUAGUUGGCAUGUUGAUUUCAUAAGGUUUUUGCUCAUCGCUUGUAUGAAAGAAGUUUUUGUUAAGGCUUAAAGUUCAUUGUAACUGCUUGGCAGUUAGUUUUGGGGAUUGUGUCAAACAAGAAUACUGCACAAUUUUGCCUUCAUGUCAUCAGCAAUUGAAUUCAAAUACAGAAUUUACUUUAGACAUGUGAUUUGGUUUUGUAGAAUUUAGAGCCUAUUAUUGUUCACAUUAUAAUUAUCAUGUAUCGUUGUUAAUCAGUAAGUUCAAAAGGCCUAUGUAAAUUUUAAGUGGUGACACGUUAUUUAGUCUUCAUUACUUUGUCAGGGGUAUAAGAUUUAAUUUGAGCCUGGGCUUAAGGUCGUUUGGGGAAUAGGAAUUGUUUGAGCUUGAAUAUAAUGUCGAUUGUGA
rnacentral:lncRNA from 1 species